UUUUUUUUUUAACUUUAAAAAAAAUAUUUUUAAUAACAAAACUGUAAUAAAAUUUGACUUUCAAAAUAAAUAAUACUCUAACAAUAUUUUAUUCAAAAUGUCUAGUAACAAAAUUGUAAUAAAAUUUUGAAUCUAAAAUAAACAAUACUUUACCAAUAUUUUAUAUAAGAUAUUGACCUUGAUGAUAUUAUCUGAUAUAAGAAUAUUAUUAAAAAAUAAUUAAUUUUUUAAUAAAAUAUACACAUCACAGUAAAAGUAAAUUUGAUGAAAAAAUGAGACUUGAAAAUUAAUAAAUUUAAGAAAAUAACCUAAACCAAUAAUACAUUUGAUAUCCUUGGUAGUAAUUGGGAGGUCCCCACAAUGACAGACAACAGCUAAAUUAUUGUAGUGUUUUCACUUUUUUUGUUUUUUUUUUCAACAAUCACUCUGCUGCACAAAUAUAGAGUUUCUGUUUCACUUUCCUCUUACAAAUAAUUUUUUUUUUAAAUAAAAAAUUUCUUUAAUAAAAUAUAAGCAAAAUACAAAAUGUUGAAAUAUUAAUAUUUAAUAAAGUGUAAGUGGACAAUGUAAAAACUCCAUUUUCCUUUUGCAAUUGCAUCCACAAAAGCUCCAUAUAUCUCUUUCUCUCUUCUUUUCCUUGGCAUAUAACAGCAGUUAGAGUAGUGUGAGAUUCCCACCUCCAAGUGCAAAAGAAAAGGGAGAAAAAUGGGGGUGUUAAGGGCUGCAAUUGGGGAUGCAAUUUUGACAUCAAUGUGGGUUUUCAUCAUCUCAACUUUGAGGAUUGCUUCAACUGAGUUAGCACUUUUCCUUAGCCUCCAACCCAUCUCAAUUGCAGGCCUCUUCAUCACUACCAUCCUCAACACCCUCUAUGUCCUCACCAUAAGCUUCAUUGGAAGAGUCUUAGGUGGUGCCAGCUUCAACCCGUCAACCACUGUUUCAUUCUACACUGCAGGUCUGAGACCUGACUCAUCUCUUGCAUCAAUGGCUGUUAGGUUCCCUGCUCAGGCAGUUGGUGCGGCUGCAGGAGCCAAGGCUCUUCUUCUGGUAAUGCCAUCUGAGUACAAGCACAUGCUGAAAGGUCCAUUCUUGAAGGUGGACCUGCACACUGGUGCUAUUGCUGAGGGGUUGUUGACCUUCACUCAUAACAUGGCUAUCCUCUUUGUGAUGCUGAGGGGUCCCAAAAACCCUUUUUUGAAGGUGUAUUUGCUUUCUGUGGCUACUGCUGCUUUGGUUAUCCCUGGUUCUGGCUUCACUGGACCUUCCAUGAACCCUGCCAAUGCCUUUGGAUGGGCCUUUAUCAACAACAAGCACAACACUUGGGAGCAGUUUUAUGUCUAUUGGAUAUGCCCUUUCAUAGGGGCUUCCUCAGCUGCUUUCAUCUACCGUUCUGUCUUCAUGUCACCAAUCAAGCAAAAGAAGGCUUGAAAUAAUGCAUUUUCAUUUUAAGUAGGACUUAUCUACAAGUUUCGUCACUUGUAUUAUAUCAUAUUCUAUGAAUUGAAUUCAAGUACAUUAUAAAUUUGGUUAUUUUUAACUCAGUUUUUAUUAUAAAAAAAAUUGUUGAGAGUUUAAAUGUCUUUAGUUUUUAUGUAAAUACUAUGUCGCUUAAUUUUGUCUUUGACAUGAUGAUGUGAUUGAUAUUUUUAAUUCGCAUUGUUUUCCUCAAAUUUCCUCUGUUAUUAGUUAGCUUUUGAAGAGAACGAGUGAAUUUGUCAUGAGUCCACUAUGUUAGAUUCUAAACGUGAGUUUGGUUCUAGCUUGAGUAGGAAUGAAUCCAAAAGUAACAUAUAAAAGAGAAAUAUUUAAUAUUUUAAUAUUUAUUGUCUUAAUGUUUUUCCUUGACAUUUACUUGUUUUUCUUAUCUCUCUUUACUUUGCAAUAACUUCACAUGUCCAAGAAAUUCAAAAUAAAAAAUAACUUUUAUCAGUGUAUUUAAUGAGGCAAAUAAAUAAAAUGAAUAGGACAAAUGGUAAUUCAACUAGGCAUGUUUCUGAUUUUUUUUUAUUUAUUUGUAAACAUACAUGUGAAUGAAAUAAACUAAUAAUCUGUUGUAUAGUUACACACAAUUGUUAAAAGUUUUAUAUGUCCUAAAUAUUUUAUUAUAAUUUAAAAAUUGUAAGUAUUUUUAAAAUAAUUACAAAUAUUAUAUAUUAAUUUAGUUUUUAAAAUAGUAACUAAUCACUGCAAAAAAUAAUUACAUUUAUUUACAACAAAAAUUUGUAGAUAAUAAAAAAUAUCUAUAGAUUACCGCUAUCUAAUAUGAAAAAUAUAAUUCCAUAUUUUGUCUACGGAUAUUAAUAAUACAAUGAUUAUUAUUUAUGGUUAUGUUAUUAUUAUUAAUAUUAAAAAAUUAUUUUUAUUUUCAAUAGUAACAAUAAUAAUAUUAUUAUUAUUGUUAUUAUUACUAUUAUUAUUAUUAAUAAUAAUAUUAUUACUAACAUUAAUGUUAUUUUUUUAUUAUUAAUAUAUUAAUAAUAAUAAUAAUAUCAUAAUAUUAAUAAUGUUAAUAAUAAAAAUAAUGAUAUUGAUAAUAAUAUUAAUAUUAGAAAUAAUAAUAAUAAUUUUCAUAAUAUUAAUACCAAUAUUAUUAUUGUUAAUAAUAAUAAUAUUAAUAUGGAUGUUAAAUCGUUUUUUUUAAAUGGUGGUUAGAAGAAAAUUUAAAUAAAUCAACCUUAAGGAUUUAUAGAACUAGUAAAAGAAAAGAAAGUAUGACAACUUGUUAAUAUUUUGAAUGGCUUUAAAAUAAACACCAAAGCAAUUAUAUGAAAAAUUUGAUGAAGGUACUCUUUUUUGUGAUUUCCAAUCAUAUAGUUUUCAAAGUUACUAGCGAAAAUUUUAAUGAAAAAAGAAGACACUUAAGAGUGUAAAAUAAAUCUAUUACAAAUUUAAUUUUUUUCGUAAUGUUAUUUUUCUUUAUUUUGUUAGGUAAGAAAGAAACAUUGGAGAUCAUAACACAUCAAUAAGUACUUGAGUUGUCCGAAGAGUAAGACUAAAGUCCAUCAACUAGUUAUAGAACAAUAGAUUCCUAAAUUCAAAUGAAUAGUAAUCCCAUGAAUGGACUUCCAUUAAUAAAAUUAAAGUUGUUGUUUACUAAAAUAUAUAAUUUUAUUUUGAAUAAUUUUUGUGUCUCAUUUAUGAUAAUAUAUACUUUAAAUUGUGGAAUUAAUAAAGUUUAUGUAUGUGAUGGUGAGUUAAUAACAAUCAUAUAAAUAUUCAACUAAUGAAUGUGAUGGUGGAAUUAUAAUGGUGAGAAUGAAAAAAAUCUUCAAGUUUAUUUUUAUCAGCAAAGAAUAAAUAAAUUAAAAUGAACAUUUCAUGGGCGUUCCAAUCCUUAUACAAACAUAAAAUAAAUCUACUGCCUAACUUACAAUCCAUAAAUCAUUACAAACCAGUUGAGAAUUAAAUAAGACAAGGCUUCCUAAUGACUAUUAAUGCAAAUCAUUCAACAAAUUCUACAUAAAUUCAUCACUAAAUACCCUUUCAAAACCUUACACUAACAAACCCAAAUACCUUUCCUAAAGAUCCAAGACAACCAACAACUAUACUGUCAUACUAUUAUCCUGCAAAACAAAGGCUAAUAACUUCUCCUUCAUCUGCAUAAACUGCCCAUAGAGCCUAAUCAAUCCUUCAAUAUUCUUUCUAGAGGAGCAUUAUGGGAACAAGAGGAUAAUGAACAAGCAAUGCAGUGGCUCAAGUGUUAUCAGCAACCAAUAUUCAGAUCUUCCUAAACUAGCAGUACGGUUUCUUUGACCUUAUGUGAUUUAACUCUCACUACUACAAAAAAGUGUUUCAACGAUGGUUAAAAAGAACAUUUGAAGACGAUUCUACAACCGUCUUUAAUGUGAGCGUCGUUAUAAAUCAACAUCUUAUAACGACGAUUCAUGAAUCGUUGUUAUAAAUCAUAUUUACGAUACUUGUACAAAACUGUCACUAUAGUAGCAAAUAAGCAGCGAAAAAAAAACUUGAAUUUCAAAGACGAUUCCAGAAGAAUCGUCGUUAUAAAUUGUAUUUAUUUUAAAGACUGUUUUUUUAAAGACGGUUUGGAUUUAAACCGUCGUUAAAAAUGUAUUUUUUUAAAGAAAUUUUUGUAUUAUUAUAUAUAUGCUCUAACCCUGCAUAAAAUAUUAAAUUUCUAGACCAAUAAUGCAUAUAAUAUCAUAAUUUAAAUAUGAAAGACUACAUACAAUAAAUUAAGUACAUAUAACAUUCUACAAAAAGUUCUGCAAUAUAUGAAAAUGUUUUAUGUCAUUCUAAUCAUUCAUCUAUCCUAAGGUGUUAUACAUGGUUACAAAAUAUUUUGACCAUGUUGUCUUGACAUGCUCCAAUGAUUUCGAAUCUAGCGGUUGUGGAUCAUUGAAAAACUGUGACAUUUAAAUUUUUUUUAAUCAAUGCAUGAAUAAUAAACUCCAAAUUUUAAAGUGUUUUUGUAUUGAGGUAUUACUUGAUCUCAACCUCUAUCCAUUUCAGCUCGCAUUAGUCAACAUUCACUGCAUAACAUAGUAACCACACUCAUAAUUUCCAGAUUGUUUAUUGCACUGCAAGUCAAAAUAAAUGUUAUUAAAUGAAUGAAUGAGACACAUUAAAGUGAGUGAACAAAUAUGCCUUAAAUACCUUAAGGUGCAUCCAAGUGAGUUUUUUUUUGCAUUUGUACUUCCCCUCCCACUCAACAUGUUAUAUUCAGAAUAAGCACUAAAAUAAUAAGAUUUCAUGUUAGAACACAUAACAUUAUGUAAUGUAUAAUUAAUAAUAAAUGUUAAAUGAAGUUGUCGUACUUAUCUAUAAUGUGUUUAAAAUAGUUAGGAGGUUUCUUAUGCAAGGAGCAAAACCAUGCAACGGUAUGAUCUUGAUUAGAUAUGUUUAAUAGUUGUCAAUGAUGCCUAUAUAACAAAUCGGUUAGUUUCUCUUAUUUCAAUAAUUUAGUAUAACUUUUUUAAUGAAUAUGGAAUUACUCAUGGAUAUACGGAGCAAUAUAAAUUCGUUUUCCUCCAUUCUUUAAGGCAGUGGUGAUAUAUGUUUGUGUUUCUCUCUUUUUGUUACCAAGUGAUUGAAGGAGUUGAGGGUCUAAAAGCCCAUAUGUAUCUUGUUUCCCCUCAUUGAAGCAUAAUCCACAAAUGUACCUAAAUUUCAAAAGUUAUUACUAAUAUAUAUAAUAAAUAAAAAAAUAUAAAUAUUUUAAUAAUUAAACUUAUAUGAUCCAUAAUUGCAGAGCUGUUAUGUUAAUCUCCUGAUUUCCGGAUGCAAGGUCCAACAAAUCAGACAUGUGAAAGUACAACCGUACAUCACUAUGCCAUCCACAAACAUUGGCAUCCCAUGGAACCUCUACGAAGAUUGUAACAACUUCCACCAAUGCUGCUACAAGAUCAUCAAUGGAGAAUUUUUUAUUAUUUUUUGCAUGUGUGAACCAAUGCUUGCUAUGUGAUGAGGGUCCAAAGUAUGAGUGAAUUCCCUCCCCAAAUCCAACAACACGAACACGUCCAGGGUGUUCAGGUUGUUUGAUAACAACAUUAAUAAUAUCCUGGUGGCCAUAUGGAUUAAAAGUUCCUUGCGUUGUUUGCUCAACAAGAGAAUCCUACAACACAUGGAAAUAAUUUUUCAAACUUCAACACACAUGUUGAAUUUAAAAUGACACAUACAGAAGAUAUUUCUUACAAUUUGUUCAAUUAUUCAUUGUCAUUCCUUAAAAGUCCAUGUCCUUGAUUGCUUUAGAUGGGCAUUCUUCAAUUUCUCAUGUCGGGAUGGUGGUGAUGGAGGUUUCAAAGAAUUUACAUUAUUCCCUUCCUCAAUAUAAGCAGAAUGUGCUUUAAUCUUUUGUUCAACCAAGUUCUACUCUAACUUCUUAUAACCACCACGGGACAAUAAGUGUAGGGUCUCAUUAUGUGCCUAAUUGGAUUGUGCUUUCUUCCGAACAUCCUAUCAUCAACAUUCAAAAGUUAAUAGCACGUUAAUAUAAACUACAUAUAAAUAAAAUAAGUGAUAUUAACCUGUCAUUUCUCAGUUUCUUGGAUCUUUACAAACUGCUGCCAAGUUUCUUCAUCAAGGCAUGCAUAUUUUGUACAAAAAUAUUCUCCUUUCCUUGCACCAUAUAUAUAAGUUGUUGUCAAUUUUGAUUUAAACUGACGAAACUUUACACCCAAUGAAGAUAGAAUCUUCACUUUCAACGUUUCCACAUUCGGGAUAUCGUAAUGUGUCUACAUUCCACAUGUGGGGUAAUUAGUUCACAAUAAACUUCAGAUUGAACAAAGUAGAAACAAACUUUAGAUUGAACAAAGUAAAAACAAUUACAUACCAGAAUAUCUUGCCAAAUCAUGUUUCUCUCGUGCUCGAUGAAGUUAUCCCAAGAAUCAAUUAAGAUAGAAAUUCUUUCGUGAGCAACUACUCCGAGAUAACUACUAAAAUUUUGUGAAUUUGGCCCAUUGGCGACACAAGUGUUGACAUCAAUAAUCAAUGGCAUUUUUUGACCUUUAUUUAUCUUCAUACACAUAGUCUUUAAUCUAGUAGGUCCUCUACUAGUUCUUGAACGAGGAACUUCAUCAUUAGUCAUGUUCCUGUUAUAAAAAAAAUGUGAUAAGCAUUAAGAAUGUGAAACAUAAUAAAAAUGAUAUAAUGUAAAACUAAACUUAAAACACAUGCACAUACAAAUAUAAAUUCCUUUGUCAUGAUCAUUUUGAGUUUCAUGUACAACAUUAGCAACAUUCUCGUACUCUUUAUUGAUCUUCGUUCUUGUAAGUGAUUCAAUCUCACAAAUGUCAUUAUUUGGUUCUUCAUCUUCUCGGUCAUUAUGUUGUUUUUUCCAUGUAGCACAACAAACCAAUUUUUAGACGUAGGAUCUUGGAUAUAGAAACUUGGGAAGCUUGAUAUGCCAUUAUGAAUGAUUUGUCAUGAUAACCUAUCUUUCGAAAGUCAACCAAAGUCAAUCCUAAUUCAUCAACUUUGACACGAGUCUUAUUGUCAACCCACUUGCAUUUGAAAACAGGUACAAUAAACUUAGUAUAAUUAACUUCCCAAAUCUCUACUAUGACACCAUAAUAAGGCAUUGAUCCCACAACAGGAUUUUAAUAUUUUGAAGUUGAAAACUUCAUGGACUCUGCCUCCAAAGUGACUAUACUAUUUUGCAUUGUACUCUUAUUAUCUCGAGACUUUGUGUAAAACAAACAACAAUUUACAUCAUAGCCAGAACAACAUAAAACAUAAAACAUUAGACCGUUGGCAAGCUAUGUUAAUGUUUCAAAUGCGAAUGGAUCAUUCAUGAUUUGUUACUUAAACCAAACAUGAAAGUUUUGUUACUCAAUUAACACCCAUUUUUCUGAUUUCCUUGGAUUCUUAUAUUUGACAAUGUCUUUGUGUGUAUCUAAGUAUGGCAACACCUCAUCAAUGUUAUUCAUGAUAUACAAAUGUGCUUGCAGAGCCUUUUCUCUAGAUUUGCUUAUGACAUGUACACCUUUUGUAGAUUUACUUAUCAAUCUACGAGAGUGCCAACAUUUUUCAGGAACUCCUAUAGAUUUGGCUUUUGACAAGUACUCAGAACAAAACUCAAUAGAUUCUUCUCAAAUGUUUCUUUCAAUAAUGGAAGCUUCCGGACGACAUUGAUUCUUCAUAUAUCUCUUCAAAAUCUUCACGUAUUGUUCAAAUGGAUACAUCCAUCGCAUAUAAACUGGCACACACAAUUUAAUUUCUCUUACAAGAUGAACAACCAAAUGUACCAUGAUAUCAAAAAAUGAUGGAGGAAAAAACAUCUCUAGUUGACAUAAAAUAACAAUAAUUUCUUCAUCAAGUUCAUCCUACUUAUAAGAGUCAAUCUCUUUACUACAUAUUGAAUUGAAAAAUGAACAUAGUUGAGUGAUUGUAUGACUAACAUGUUUUGGUAAGAUUCCACGAAUAGCCACUGGUAGUAAUUGUUGCAUUAGAACGUGACAAUCAUGACACUUCAAGCCAAUUAUUUUCAAAUCAUUCAUAGAUACAAUGUUGAUCAAGUGUGAUCCAGUGCUUUGAAGAAUCCAAAUCCAAGGUGUUUGAUGAAAGACUGGUGUUGUUGUUGUGUUUGGGUGGGAUCUGGGUAGAAUAAAGUGUGAUCCACUCCUUUGUUGAAUCUAAAACUGAUGUGAAUUAAAACCUUUUUGAAAUUAAGUGUUUUUCCAACUAAGUGAAGAAAAACCUAUUGUUUUGUCGAAUCAACCGGUUGUUUUACUCUUAGGAGUUUUUGAAAAAGGUUGAAAGGUGUUUGGUUUGGUUGACUUAACUGUCAAGCCAAAACAAUCGGUUGUUUCGUGAUUUCAACUGAUUGUUUCUUUGAAAAUCCUAACAGAAUUCAGUUUUUGAAUGGUGAAUCUGUUUUAAAUGUUUUCUAAUUAAAUACACUCCUUCAUUAAAUGCUUUGACCAAUCUUUGGAAAAUAAAUUGUUUGUUUAUGUUUUCAAAUAAAAGAAAGAAAUAGUUUUGCGAAAUUCAGUUUUGACAUAUUUGAUUCUAAGAUUUCAAGAUUCACCUCAAGCUUUGGAUUUUCAAGAGAGAGUGGAAUAGAAUUGCAAUUAUAUUCAAUUUAGAUUGUACUGUGAUUAGGUGUAAUCCUUUCAAAACCUACUGUAUUUCUGGUGUUGUGUUGCCAAGGAGUAUUGUGUGUUCUUGAGGUGUUCAAGAUCAAUACUCUUGGUGUGGUUUACCAAAGGUAGUGUGUUUCUUUAAGGGUUCAAGGUCACUACUUUGGUGGUUUGUGUUUUGUAAUCUAGUUUGAUUGCUUAGUGGAUUACCCAGUGGUAUUUUGGGGACUAGAUGUAGCUCUUGGCUUAAGAGUGAACCAGUAUAAGCUGUUUGUGUGAUUCUCUCUUACCCUGAACUCUUUUUAGUUCUGUUUUAAGCUUAACUGAUAUAAACAACCGAUUGUUUCGAAGAAACAACCGAUUCUUUUUCUGUGUAUUGCUGCAUAACUGCUUGAGUUCUUGGCUAACUUGAUUCCUGUUCUGGUUUUAUACAAAGAAUUUCAUUAAACCUGAAAAAGUUUUCAAAAACCCCUUUUAAACAAUUCACUCCCCCUCUUGUUUAAGGCCAUAUAUUCUAACAUACAAGACUCUUAACAUUUGAAGAGUAGCCUUGUGGUACCUUAACACCUUUAAGACAUUCACAAAAACUUAUUUUCUCUUUCUUCGACGAAGUGUAGCACACUACAGGCAAGUAUGUACGUUUACCAACUUCUCGCAGUGCCAAUUCCUCUCGUGUAUUCAUCUCAAUCAAAUCCAGACAUGCAUUAAAACCAUCCUUUGUUUUGCCUUUAAUAUUGAGAAAUGUUCCUAUUAAACUCUCACAAACAUUCUUUUCUACGUGCAUUACAUUUAUACAGUGUCUUACAUCUAUACAGUGUUUGAAAUCAAUACGGAAGAUGAAAAAAGAUUUAUCUCUUCUUCCAUAUUUCAGUCACAAUUUUCUUCUUCUUCAUUUUUUUCCUAAAGUCACAUUAACAUUUUUUAUCUCUUCAUAAAUUUGAAGGCCACUUAAGGGAGUGUCACAAAUGUCAUGUUCUUCGUAUUCGUUGAAAGCUUUUUACAAUCUACGAUACGAGUGGUAUUUCGUUAGAAAUCUAUGAUGCCCAAGAUACAUGAUAUUUCUUCCAUGUUUACUACUCAUAUGAUGUCUUGUCUUCACAUAUUGGACAUGCUUUAUGACCUUUGACACUAUAACCUGACAAGUUCCCAUAUGCAGGAAAGUCAUUGAUAGUACAAAAUAACAUUGGAUGCAAUUGAAAAGAUUCAUUCUUAAACACGUCAAACACAUCAACCCCUUCAUUUCCACAAUAAUUGAAAUCUUCAAUCAAUGGAUUAAGAUAAACAUCUAUGUCAUUUCCAAGUGGUUUUGGACCAGAGAUCAUCAUAGAUAAUGUUCUCGCUUGCUGACCUGGAUCAGGUCUUGGUGGUGGAUUCUAAGCUAACUUUUCUUUUCUAUUGUUCCUACUUUGAGAUGCUUGAAAUCCGCAGUGAGGGGAGCUCCACCUGUUGACAAGACUCCGACGAUCAAGUCAGUGAGAGCAUAUAAUUAUGAGUAUAGUGAGUAGUGCAUGGAAUGACACUUACCUUUGUUCAGGGUUUUGAGGCCUUUUUAUAGCACUCGUAGAUUCUCCCUUUAGGAAUUAAACCAUAAAGAUAUUCUGUUAUAUAUCCUUUUUAUUUUAAGGGUGUUGGCAAAGCAUUAUCUCUAUCUAUUUAUUUUCAUCGAAUUUAGAGUAAAUAGUUGUUCCUAAACUGAUUCAGUUAUUUAAUCAGUUGUUUUAAUAUAUUUCGCUAGCCAUUUGAGUCGACUACUUAACAAAUCAUUGGGCUUAUUAUUAUUUUAGGUUGAGUUAAGUAUUUACCCUCUUACACCAAUUGGGCCAGAACAAUGUACAUAAGUGCUCGGGUCGGGCCUCGAGCACGUUCGACUAGUACACAACUUCCCAGCCUUGAGUCGAGAAUAGUGAUGUGUAUACAUGUCCUAUGAUCAAUGGUUAAGAAAAGGUUUCGUUUCAAGCUCUUUUCUCAUAUUUCUUAAAAACCCUCUUAUUUCCCUAUUGUUCUUUUUUCACUAAGAGUCGGAGAGAAAAGAAAGAAAAAAAACCUUUCCUUUACGGCAUCGUGCUUCUCUGCGAACCACCGUGAACCAGGUACACUCUUCCGUUCCUACUCUUUAAAUAGUAGCACUUAUAUUUUGGCUUUUUGUAUCAGGCUACCUUAUGUGCUGUUUGGUUUGCCUCGUAUGGGUGCCAAUGCUAAACUGUUUCUUUCGUAUUUGUAUUUUUUUUCUCUAUUUUAGCCUUUUUAGAGAUGGGUUACGCCUCUGCUUACCCUUGGGCCAAAAGAGAAUUGCUUAAGGAAACCUCUGUUUAUACAACUCAUUUAAAAAUUAGAGAGUUGAGGGAAUUAGGGGGAUCUAAGCAAAAAAGAUGAAAACUUAGUGAAAGUAAUAGCAUGUAGAGAGGGCAAAUUGAUAUGUUGUGAUGAGUCAAGCAAAAAGGAUGAAAACUUAGUGAAAGUAGUAAUAUGUAGAGAGGGCGAACCAAUAUGUUGUGAUGAGUCAUCGGACUUCGAUGGGCCUUUCUAUUUCUUCUAUACCACAUUUUUUACCAAAGUCCUGUUGCGUCUCCCUCUCUCAAUUUUUGAAAAAGAGUUAUUGAACAAGCUUAAGGUGGCUCCAAAAAAACUAGGCGUUUAUCCAAGGUUUUGUCAUGUUGUGUUCCUAGCUCGACAUUUCAUCGACUCUGGAAGUAUUCUUUUAUUUUUUCUAGUUUAAACACUCUGGUCGGUAGCUAUAGGCCUCUUUGAAUGGUGUUCCCGAUAGAGGUUUGCUCACCCUCUUCAAUCAUCCUACAAGAAUUUUAAAUGCCGAUUUAUAAAGGUUCAUGCCUUGUUCGAAAACAUGUAUCUGCUAGAUGGUUUUCCCCUAUAUUGGUCGCCCAACCCUCGCUUCCAGAGUGCUCGACAUCUCGAAGACUUGUCCCCAAAGGAGUAGGGUAUUUGCAAAUUCCUGGAGAACCUUAAGGUUAUUUUUGACACAACAAUGAUUUUGACGAGAGAAUACCUAUCGGGUUAUCUCAAGGCUUAUAUUGGUAUACACUCUUUAUACCUUCAACUUUUGAAUAAUGUUUAGAAUUUUAUGUUUUGACACUAUCUUUUUUGUUUGUUUUGUAGAGAAACAUGCUUUCCUCAAUAAGUAAGAUCGAGCUAGCCGAAUGUGCAAGACAGAUGAGAGCGACCAAGGAUACCUUAGUAUCGAAGGAGGUUGCCCCAACUAGUGUUGUUCAUGUUCAAUCCGAACAAAAGAAACACACUACUUCCGGGCUAGAUUUCAAGACAAAGAGAUCGAAAGCUCCAAUCCUUUCCGAACACACACACACUUGGAUAGUAGAGAUCUUACCCAGGAUGCUCUGACAAUCCAAUAGUGUGAAGUCGUAGGAAGUUCAAAAGGAAAGAGUUUGUAGGAUCCGAGCUUUGACAUCUUGGCCCACAAUAGAUCAUAUUUCUUGUUGGAAGACGAUAUGGCAAGGCUGAAGAUUUAUGAUAAAGACCGACUUCAACGCAAUGCUGAAAACGUUCUUGGUCAAGCUACUGCACUAGUGUGCCUGACCAACGUCAAGGCAGAGGAGCGAAAGAAAACUGAAAGCAAGAAGGCUCAACAAAUUGUUGAACUCCAGAAAGAGAAUGAGCGCCUCAAAGCCGAGAUCAUUGAUGUCGAUCAUUUACACUCAAAGUUGGCCUUCAAAACCCAAUAAGAACUUGUUCUGGCCAAGGAGAAAAAUCGAUUUGGCUAAUAAAGUUCAUAUUUUGGGGAAGAAAAUGGGACAUUGGGAAAAUGAGAUGGCUUGUAAAGAAACUGAGUUCUUGAGUAACACCCUAAAAGAUAAUGUGACCCAUUUUUACAUCGUCGGCUUCGAGGCCGCCAUGGAACAAGCUACCUUCGUUCAUCCCUCAAUAGAUUUUUUUGAGUUGAGCUCUACAAAUCGGUACUCGAUAGGGAGCUUGUUGGGGAAUCUUAGUUAUUUUCAUUAAUUCCCAAUUUUAUGAACAAUGUGUAUAUUUGACAUUUGGACCUGGACAAUACUUGAGGUCUUAACCAUUUGGUGUAUUUUAAGCUUAUGACUUCCUUUAGUUAUGCCCUUUAAUAUGUCGUCAAUUUUGCCUAUAAACAUAUAAAUGAAUGUGAUGUUCUAAAAACUUACAAAGUAAAUUUGCUUAAGCACUAAGCAUAGCACGACUAAGAAAAUUAUAAAUUGUUGAUCUGAAUUUGGAUGGAGUGCCCAAGAUAAUGGGGAUGUCUCUUAGUAACAAGUUAAGUCAUCGUUGGGUUACCCCUCUAGGGUCAACCAAGUUGCUUGGUGUUUCAGCGUUGCUUGUCUUUCACUAUUAGCCAAUUUGAUGUGUAGAUAAUAAUAUUAUCGAAUUAGCCCGACCUCAAGGUUCCACUAACAUGAUAUGUUGAAGACUAUGUCACUGAUUUAGUCUGACCUUAGGGUUCAACUAAAUGAUGUGUAUAGUAGAUACGUUACCGGAUUAACCCUACCUUAAGGUUUCACUAAAAUGAUACAUUGAAGACCACGUCACUGACUUAGUCUGACCUUAGGGUUCGGCUAAACGAUGUGUAUAGUAGAUACGUUACUUGAUUAGCCCUACCUUAUGGUUCCGCUAAAACAAUAUGUUGGAGACAACGUCAUCGAGUUAGUCCAACUUUAGGGUUUGGCUAAAGGAUGUGUAUAGUAGAUACAUUAUCGGAUUAGUCCUACCUUAUGGUUCCACUAAAAUGAUAUGUUGGAGACGACGUCAUUGAGUUAGGCUGACCUUAGGGUUCGGCUAAAUGAUGUGUAUAGUAGAUAUGUUACUGAAUUAGUCGUACCUUAUGGUUAUGCUAAAAUAAUAUGUUGGAGACGACGUCACCGAGUUAGACUAACCUUAGCGUUCGGCUAAACGAUGUGUAUAGUAGAUACAUUACCGGAUUAGCCCUACCUUAUGGUUCCGCUAAAACGAUAUAUAAAGUGUUAUUUUAUAUGUAUAAAAAAAGUAAUUAAGGGUAAUUUUGAUUUUUUAUCGUUACUAUGUGAAAUUUUUGUAAACUUUCGUUCCUAUUCUUCGCAUGGCACAGGGGAUUCAUUUUAUCCCUCUCCCCCAAAUCAACGCUUUUCCAUCUUCUUAAAUCAUUAGAAACAAACCAAAACAUUCAUUGCAUUUCAAUCCGAGUGAAUAGUGUUCACUCGGAUCCAAACAGAGCCUUAGGGAAAAAAAGAGUAUCGCCAGAAAAAAGGGAAAGUAAAAUGUCUGACUUAACAAAGGUUAUAAAUUCUUUAAGAGUAGAACUUGAGGUUUGCCGCAUUCCAUGUUUGCGAGAUUACUCCUUUGUCGAGAAUUUUCAGUCGAUAUGCUUCGUUGCCCAAAACUUCUAUGAUCCUGUAAAGUAUAAAAGUUUGGUAUUGUACUGCCUUUUACUAGCGAGCUAUGAUAGGACAUCGACAUAAUCAUUCGUCAUUCUCGACGCAUGAGUUAUGACAAAUUUGUCAAAGUGUUUGAUCUUUGUUGUAUAUAUCUCCUUUUUUUUUUCUUUUGUCAUAGAUUUAAAAUCGAAUUAUACACUAUGAAUAAUAAUGUUUGUUGGAACAAUGAUUGUAGACCAUUAACUAGUACACUAGGUAAGUUCCCAGGAAAGAGAGGUGGGUCAACAAUGAACGCGCUUAAAUACCAAGUCUUUCCUUGCCAGAACUUUCCUAUACAUGUACUUUUACACUACUACGCUCUAUAUCCAGUAACAAGAAUAUUUUCUCUCAUGUGAGAGAUCAUGGUAAUAAUGAAGCAACAUCUCAAUAUCUACUAGAACAAUGAUUGUAGAUCGUGAACUAGUACACUAGGUAAGUUCCCAAGAAAGAGAGGUGGGUCACCAACUGACGCGCUUAAAUACCAAGUCUUUUCUUGCCAGAACUUUCCUAGACAAGUACUUUUACACUACUACGCUCUAUAUCCUGUAACAAGAAUAAUUUCUCUCAUGUGAGAGAUCAUGAUAAUGAUGAUGAUGAAGCGACAUCUCAGUUUCUAUUGAGUACCAUAAAAAUUAUGGUUUGAGAAAAGUGAAAUAAUAGAAGAAAUAUUAUACCAUGAUAACUGAUACAACCAAAGCAACCAACAAAUGACUAAGGACACAUCAAGCACCCCACAAAAAGGCCAGUCAUCUUAAUAUACAAAGUCGGGCCCCACCAAACCUCGAGAAAGCAUCAGCGGAAGAAGAAGUUAUAAACCAGAAUAUCAUAAGUUCUUUCUUCUAGUCUUUUCCACAAGAGAAAAGUUAUGUAAAUAAAUUGGGCUCACUUUAGGGGUCCAAAUAGCAAAUAUAGGCUAGAAUAAGCUACCAUUAGCAUAAUAGGGGGUGUGGGUAGCAUUUUAGCUUGUUCCUAACCCUUUUGGAAGGCAUUUGACCUAAUUUCUAGAAGGACAAGCCUAGGAUGCGGGUUUGACUUAAUCAAACCCUAAGGCUGCACAUUUUUCCCUUUUCCCAUCCUACCCUUUUAACUUGUUCUCCAAGGCUUCUUCACCUAUAAAUAGGAGGCCUAUAGUGUAUUUGACAAGUUGAAAUUAAUAAAAGAAGAGUUACUCUGCACAAAUAUUGUGUGAGCUUGAGUGAGUGUUAUCUCCUCGUUUUUGGUCUUAUCUUGAUGAGAAUGAAGCUCUCAAGUGACAGGCUCCCACUUAAAUUCCUAAAAUCUCAAUCCUACAAGUAAAGUGUCACACCAAAAAGGAACAAUCCUAAAAUCAACUCACAUCAAUAACUCCCAAGUGAUUUUUUAUAACUUAGAAAGGGAGAUAAAAAGAUAAAGAAAUAAAAACAUCUCAUAAAUUUAUGAGUGAUAUCUCAUAAAAUUUGUUUAACCUUAUUAUUUAGAUCAUAUCUCACCAAUUUCAAUUAAAUAUUUUUGACACCAUCAUAAAUAAUAAUAAUCAUUAUGAAGAAUAAUAUGAUAACAAAUAACAUCAUGUAUUUGCGCUUCAUACAGAAAGCAUGAGGUAAGUUGUAAAUCACUAACAAAAUGGGUCAUGAACUAUGAUUACUACUUAAAUUUUCAAAAGGAAUCAUUCCAUCAGUUGUCAAUCCAAGUCUUAAGUUUCUUGGUUCUUUUCCAAAUUCGGGAAAUUCUUUAUAAAUGUUCUUCCACCACAAAGAAUCAGUUGGAUGACAAAGUAGUCCAUCACAUUUUCUAUUAUCUGCAUGCCACCAAAGGUUUUUAGUGUCAUUUGUAUUUGCAAACAAACGCUUAAGCCUUGCAAUUACUAAAAGAUACCAAACAACCAUAGUAGGAGGACCUUCCUUUGCGAAUUUAACAUUUUCAUCAUUCUUACCAACUUUAACCUUAUAACGUGACAAACCACACCUGGGACAUCUUCUUAAAUCUUCAUACUCAUUUCUAUAUAAAAUACAAUCAUUAGGAAGGACAUGAAUGUAUUUUUUUGUAUACCAUACCCAUCAGACAAGUUUUUUUUUUGUCUCAUAAUUUAGAUUGGGUAAUGUAUUUCCUUCUGGAAGCAUGUGUUGAUCAAGGUUGAUCUUGAAGUUUUGAUGUCUCCAAAUCCAUGGUGUUUGUUGAAAGGCUAGAGUUGUUGUGUGUGUGUGUGGGUUUGGGUAGAAUAUUUUGUAAUCCACUCUUUGUUUGAAUCUAAAACAAUUUGGAAUCAAAACCUUUUUGAAAAAGAUUGUUUUAUAAAGAAGCGGAAAAACAACCUGUUGUUUUGUCGUUUCAAUCGCUUGUUUAUCACUUAGAAGUUUUUGAAAAGGGUUUGAAACUGUUUGACUUGGAUGACUUUGUUGUCAAGCCAAUUCAGUCGGUUGUUUCGAGAAUUCAACCGAUUGUUUGUUUAAAAUCCAUAACAAAAUUUAUGUUAUGUUUGCAAAUCAGCUUUAAAUGUUUUCUAACUGAAUAGGCUCCUGCUUUAAAUGUUUUUAACAGUUUUUGGAGUAUUUAAAGAGGUUGUUAUACUCUCUUAAAGAUUGAUACAGUUUUGAGACAUUUGUGAAAGUGUGAAAACAGAUUUGAGUUUUUAAGAUUUGCAUUUAAGCUUUUGGGUUUUCUCAAAGAAGUGGAAUAGGAUUGUUGUAAUCUUUUGAUUUGAUCUUCAUCAGGUGUAAUCCUUUUUGUAUCUCUUGUAUUUCUGAAUAUUGGAGGUGUAAGCAGAAUUAGAGGUAGUUCUGAAUUUUGUGGUGUGUUUGCCAAAGGAAGUGUGUGACUUGAGGUGUUCAAUGUCACUUCUUUGGUGGUGUGUUUGUAAUCUGGAUUUCGAUUGCAUAGUAGAUACUCAGUGGUUUUCUGGGGACUGAAUGUAGCUCUUGGUGUAAGAGUGAACCAGUUUAAAUCUGUUUGUGUGAUUCUCUCUUUCCCUGAUCUCACAUAUAUCUAUUUUAAGUUGUUUUUAUUAACUGCUAAUAAAAACAAUCGGUUGAAUCGCAAAACCAACCAGUUGAUUUUCUGAAAAUCAACUAAAACAACUUUGUGCAUUCUUUUCCAUAGUUUCCUUGUCUGUGAUUCUUCAUUGGCCUUCAUUGUAACUUCAAAGUUUGCGGAAAUCUUUCAUAAACAAUUCACUCCCCUCUCUUGUUUAAAGCCGUAUAUUCUAACAUGUCCUUGAACAAUUGAAGCAAUUCUGUAAAGUUUUUAUCGAUCCAUCCACUCAUUACCUUCAAUUCAUCAACCUUAACAUUGCUGAUAAUCGUGUCAAGUUAGUUGAACUAGGAUACAAAGGAGUCUCUGCAUCAUUAGACAUAUUUUCGAAUGCAUUAGCAAAAAGUUAUGCUCCCACAUAACGAAUCAUGUCCUCUAAUCUAUCGUCCAUUGAGAAAUCUACAAACUUUGACUCUUCACGCACAAUUGACUAGUAUAUAAUAUUUCACCAUGCCACGUCCAUGUUGUAUAAUUUUUCAAAAAAUCCAUCUCACAAAAGAUGUUCUCUAAUUUCGGAAAUACUUAAUAUCCUUUCAUUCAAACAAUUGACACAAGGACACCUUAUACUUACACCAUUAUGACUACUAUAACGACAAUAUGUUUUGCAGACUGUAUGAAUUCUUCCACCCCUCUUUCGUAAGAAUCACUUAUCUGUGGUGUAUUAAUCCAACUUCGACCCAUAGAACUAGUAAAUUAAGAAAAUCUAAAUUAAAAUUGCCGAAAGUCGGACAUCCCAGGACUCAGUAUCAACGCGUUCUAUAUAAUCAAAUGUACUAUCUAAUUCAUUAUAAAACUAAAUCAAAAUUGUUGAAGGUCAGACACCUCCAAACUCAGAAUCAGUACGUUUAAUAUGUAAAAACAAUAUCUAAUCAUUAAAAACUAAAUCAAAAUUGUCGAAGGUCGGACACCCCUGAACUCAGAAUCAGUGUGUUCAAUAUAUUAAAACAAUAUUUAAUAUUUAAAAACUAAAUCAAAAUUGAUGAAGGUCGGAUACUCCCAGACUCAACAUUAAUGCGUUCAAUAUAUAAAAAAAAUAUCUAAUCAUUAAAAACUAAAUCAAAAUUGUCGAAGGUCGAACACCUUCAAACUCAAAAUAAAUACGUUCUAUAUAUAGACAAUCAAAUUUAAUAUAUUAUUAAAUAAUAAAUAAAAACACACUAACCUAAAGGGGAGUGGAGCAUAAGUCUUGUUAUAUUGACAUGACUUCAUUUAAAAUAAAUACAAAUAAAUCUUGAUUAACAUUAAUCAAAGUUAUAUGAGUCAAACAUGUUUUCCUCUCAUAUUAAAGUUGUACUAAGUUAACACAAUGUCACUUUGAUAAAUUUAAACUCAUGUCAUACAUAUACAACUUCUUCAUAAUAAAGUCCUGUGGUAGUAAGAGGAUUUAUUCCUAGGUAAAUAAUUUAAAAUCUACCCAUUUCUAUAAUUUUUGUAAAAUUACACAAAUUUGAUAAAAUUACAGCAACAAAGCUAUUUGAUAUUAAAACAGAGAGACGAUAUUGAAGUUUCCAAGGGGAACUCUCUUCAGCAGGUACAAGAACGCGGAUUGUAAGUGAAGCACACUUGUAGAAAGCUGUCAUGGAGUAAAAGAUAAGUUACAUUGAAGACAUGAGAUCAUAGCCCUUACAAGAGGGUGCAUCAUGAACAUUAGGUUCUCUAGGGAAGCCAUUGCUUAGUUGUUCUUCGAGUUGAAGGAUGUGUCUAGUGCAUGGAUAGCAUGCAAUUGAAACAUAUGUAUGAGUCAGAAAAUUGAAGAAGCUUCGCAUGAAUCUUUGUCCCAUUUUAUCAGGCUAUCACCACCACCCCUAUCGAUCCAACUCAUGCCUUCUAAUUAGAGUUUCACCUUCAUCUUAAAUAAACCCAUAUUUGGGUUUUCCUUCUGCAAAUUAUUCACAAACAGCUUUAGAAAUAUACCACUGCUUUCUCCAAAUUCCUUUCUUAGCAAUAAUGAAAUUUUAUAUCAAGAAUAACUUUAGGUCUUAAAACAUUAUAAUAAGAACUAAAGAAGUCUUGAGUUGAUUGAAGAAUGUACAAGAGUUGUGUAAUCUCGUUAUUGACUUUUAUGAAGAAAAAAAAUGUUAUAAUAAGACAAGGAUUUUAGUGGGUUAGGAACAAUCAUACUCUCUCUUGUUUACUUAUUGUCAUUUGAUUCUUAAGGUUGAAAACGAUCUAUUUUUGCCUUUAUUUCAUUUUUUAUUAUUGAUUAAAAUUUAUUAAAUCAUGAAUACCACUUAUUAAUGAAAAAAAAGAGGUAUUCUAACAUUACUUCAUAUUAAAAUUGAAACUUCCAAUUUUUUUUCAAUAUUCUUUUAUUAUAUAUAAUCUAUAUAUAUUUGUAGCAAUUUAUUUAUAUAUAGCAAUAUGCAAAUAGGGAAAAAAAUCAAAAUUAAAAAAAUUAAAAUGUAUAAUAUUUGUAGUUUGAUUAAUACAUUUCAAAUCUUAGAAUCUUUUAAGAAACUUUUACUAUAUCUAAUUUGAUUUUAAAUAAAUUUUAUCACUUCACCGUUAAUUUUAACCAUCUUUAUAAAUUUUGUUUCAAUAAUAAUGUUUUAUAAGCCUCGCAUUUCUAUACUUGUUUAUUAAAAAUAUAAUUCUUUUAUAAUUUAAAAUUUAAUUAUUAGAAUUAAAUUUUAAUUUAAUGAUAGUAUUCUAAAUAGUACGUAUUAUUAAUAUUAAAUAAAUUGUUCAAAAGCUUUAGAAUCUUAUAUAAAAUUAAGAUCUUAAUAUUUUAAAAGUCUUUUAUGUUAUGAUACAUAAAAAAUGUUCCAAGAGAAUAUGUUACUAGAUCUAACUCUUGCCCCAAAUCAAAGUAUGUAUUUCUAUUCGCUAAUUCUAUUAUUAUCAACCUCUUUAUUAAGGCUUCAAAACUUGAAAACAACACUACCAAUAAUUACCUUUCCUUACACAAAAAGCCAGUGAUGCUCGCAUCUUUUGUUAUGUGAUUUUGGUUUUUGAAGUAUUAUAGAACUCAUCAAGCAUCGAAAUGAUCGAUCCUUCUGUUUGUUUGCUUCAUUAUUACUUAAUUUCCAACAUAGAUUACAAAGCCCCACAAUCACAAUUGUUUUAGAUCCCCCAUUAACUUUAUUAACAAAAAUAAAAAGGGAAAAACUUAUCAUUUUUCAAAAUAACAUAUUAUCCUACAAAACCUUAAUAAAAUAAUCUAAAAGUUAGAAUAAAAGAAAAAACUCAUUAAAAACAAAAAGGAAUUUAAUAAGUUGAAAAUCCUAUAUCACAUUAUGAUUGGUAAAAAAAAUAAUAUUUUACUGAAAUAAAACAAUUUCAAAAUUUAUUUAGUGAACAAUCUUAAAAUUUCAUCGAUCAAAACACAAUUGUACAUUAAAAACACCAAUUUACAACUUUAAUUUCACAAAUACAAUUUUAAAAUUAUUCAAUUCUAAUAAAUAUAAUUUCAAAAUUCUUCCUUAGACCAAAAAAUUAUUUCUCUUACUAAUUAUUAUACCGGAGUUCUUAACCUAUCAUUACUCUAUAAAUAAUGGAUUACAUUAUUAGCAAAGACUACUUAUUAAUCAGUAGCACAGUUUUUAUAAAAUAACAAAGAAGAAAGAAGAGAAGAAAAAACACCCCAAGAUUUGUUUAAUGUAACCUAAUCUGGACCUAACUUGGGAUGUGAAGAAGAAUAUUCAAACCAUCAUAUAAAAAGAACAUAAAAGUACGUACCUGAAAGCAACUGUUAUUUGGUUCUAUACGAGACAUAGCUUUGCAUCCCAAAAUUUGAGGUAAACUGAACUUUGAACCAAUAGAUGAAGAACAAGAAGCUAAUGUUGCUUUCAAAAGACACCUUUCACUGAUUCCGGGGCUCCUGAUUCAUUCAAUGGACCACAACACCCAGCAAAUUGUAAGAACAAACAACAGAUAAGAGCUGCUCAUAAAAACACUUCCAUCAUUCUAUGCACAAUGUCUGAUAUUUCAUCAAACUGUAAUAACAUCUGGAUGUUUUUUUUUCCUUUUCUGUUGUGCUAAGCAGAAACAACCAUCGAACAACUAAGAAACGAAAAGGGUUUUAUAUAUAAUAAGGUGAUGAAAAGCAUAGGUUAUAUGAAAAAUAAAGCCAUGAAUUAUGAAGAUACCAUAGAUUAAGCCUCAGGUUGUAAAGAUGAAGAAGAGGGUGAAGGAGGAGCAGCCAAGUUUAGUGUGUGGCCACUCCUCUCGAAAAAGAGCUUCCACCUUAAACCAAAAACAAUUAUAUAGAGUCCAAGAAUAGAAACGAGUUGAAAAAGAGAAGAAAAAAAAGGUGUAAAAAAAUGAGUUGGUUCAUUGAAUCUAGACGCA
rnacentral:lncRNA from 1 species